AGUGGGAGAGGGGGGAUCCUUGGCCCAACUGCUCUAUAGACUCCUGCUAGCAGAUCCUUAAAGGACCCAGAGACUAACUGCUCACGGGGACCAUCCCUUCUGCCCCAGUGACAGCUUCCUGCGCUUCCCUGGACAUGGAACAGGCCUCUCCCAUCGUCUCCUCCGGCCUUCCAGAAAUCUGACUGGGAUGCUGUUGCUGAACACAAAUGUAUGAGGAACAAGCCAUAAAAGAGUGACCCAGACUCUCUCCCCUGCACAGAUAAAAGUUAUUCAGCGAAUAAUAAACCUGAAGAAACUACAUAAAUGGAGGUUCUUCCAUAAUCUUGGGGUUGACAAUCAAGCUGAUACACCAGCUGGAGUCCAGAACGUUAAGAAUGGAAAAAUAUAAUUUGUCAGUCUGUCUCAUUUGUUUUUGGGUUUGCUUUUUAAGUGCAACAAACAGUUGCAGCUAAUCCAACAAGAAAUCCAGAGAUGAGGCAGAUUUCAGAGCUGUGGAUCUGAAUUUCAUUAACUAUUUGAAAAUUUUAAAAGUAUGCUUUCUGCUUAUUAAAUUUAACAAUUCAUAUUACUGUGUUUUGAAUUAAAAUUGCAUUAGUAAGAACUUGAAUGGGUAUCUGACUACAAAAAAAAGUCAAGCCUAACAAAAUAAUGUUCUAAAAUAUGGUAUUAAGAUUUUUGUGGCCAUGGUCACAUUCUAGAAGACCCCCAAUUUCUAUUCUAUGAAAGGAAAGGAUCCCAUGCAACCAUCUUCCCAAGUCAUGGCCUUAGUAAAAUGGAUUUAAGAGAGACCAAGACUCGAUUCUCUCAGACACAAAUAUUCACUCUGCCUCGGUUUAUACAGAAACAUGAGGCCCUUAAAUUCUUGGACCUUCAAAGAACAAAGAAAGUUGAAAACAACAAAGUUUGUGCAAGCAAAAAAGCUACAGUCCUGAGUCUAUCAGAGAAAAUGGGGAAGCAACUGUAAGUUGCUAUGUAUAGCGUAGCAGAAUUUAAUUUAGAAAUAAACACUCAUUAAUGGCCUAUGGAAUGAAGAAUAUCUGACAAAAAUACCUAUAUUUCUCAAAACACUUUUAGAAGAGAUUAUAUGAGACCAAUGGAAGAAUGACUGGAGAGGGAAUUGAACUUAAUGAUUCAGAAAUAAGAGUAAGGAUGAGCCAGUUUUCAAUACUAAAAGGAUAAAACAAAGGUCCCAUAGACCAUACACUCACUUAUACUUAACUCUGAUUCUAAUCUUGAUGACUACCUUCUAGUAAAAU